rnacentral:rRNA from 1 species
GAGUUUGAUUCUGGCUCAGGAUGAACGCUGGCGGCGUGCUUAACACAUGCAAGUCGAACGAAGCGGGAAGGAAGAAGUUUUUCGAAAUGGAUUUUUUCUUUGCUUAGUGGCGGACGGGUGCAUAACACGUAGGUAACCUGCCCUGUGCUUGGGAAUAACUCCGGGAAACCGGUGCUAAUGCCGAAUAAUAUCGCCUGUCGGCAUCGAGAGGCGAUCAAAGAAUUUCGGCACAGGAUGGGCCUGCGCCGGAUUAGCUGGUUGGUGAGGUAACGGCUCACCAAGGCGACGAUCCGUAGCCGACCUGAGAGGGUGAUCGGCCACACUGGAACUGAGACACGGUCCAGACUCCUACGGGAGGCAGCAGUGGGGAAUAUUGCACAAUGGGGGAAACCCUGAUGCAGCAACGCCGCGUGAGCGAUGAAGGCUUUCGAGUCGUAAAGCUCUGUCCUAU